UACGAAGGGUGCAAGCGUUAAUCGGAAUUACUGGGCGUAAAGCGCGCGUAGGUGGUUUGUUAAGUUGGAUGUGAAAUCCCCGGGCUCAACCUGGGAACUGCAUCCAAAACUGGCAAGCUAGAGUAUGGUAGAGGGUGGUGGAAUUUCCUGUGUAGCGGUGAAAUGCGUAGAUAUAGGAAGGAACACCAGUGGCGAAGGCGACCACCUGGACUGAUACUGACACUGAGGUGCGAAAGCGUGGGGAGCAAACAGG
rnacentral:rRNA from 1 species